CGAUACCAACAGAGGUUUUUAAUCUGUCAAUGCUUGAGUCUCUGACCAUAAGUGAUGUCGGAACAUCCUCGUUCCAGUUGCCAUCGUCCCCACACCUUCCCCAAAUUAAAACGCUGAUACUGAGGAACUGUUCAAUCAAUGGUUCAAUCCCCAUGUUCAUUAGUGAGUCUUCAU